rnacentral:rRNA from 1 species
ACUCCGGUUGAUCCUGCCGGACCCGACUGCUAUCGGAAUGGGAUUUAGCCAUGUUAGUCGUACGUUCCUCGAGUGCGGGGGACGCGGCGCACGGCUCAGUAACACGUAGUCAACCUGCCCUGGAGAUGCGGAUAAACCCGGGAAACUGGGGCUAAUAUGCGAUAGGUCACAACAUCUGGAAGGAGUGGUGGCCGAAAGGGGCGGCGUGGGCAUCUUCCACGUCGUCCGUUCCAGGAUGGGACUGCGGCCGAUCAGGCUGUUGGCGGGGUAAUGGCCCACCAAACCUGUAACCGGUACGGGCUUUGAGAGAAGGAGCCCGGAGAUGGACACUGAGACAAGGGUCCAGGCCCUACGGGGCGCAUCAGGCGCG